AGAGUUUGAUCCUGGCUCAGAACGAACGCUGGCGGCGCGUUUUAAGCAUGCAAGUCGAACGGUAAUACGGCUUCGGUCGUAUGAGAGUGGCGAACGGGUGAGUAACACGUAGGUGAUCUACCUUGGGCACGGGGAUAGCCUGUGGAAACACAGAGUAAUACCGGAUACGCCUUAGUGUCUGUGGGUACUAAGGGAAUGGAGCUUAGGCUCCGGUCUGAGAUGAGCCUGCGGUCCAUUAGCUAGUUGGUGAGGUAAAGGCCCACCAAGGCGACGAUGGAUAGCCGGCCUGAGAGGGUGAACGGCCACACUGGGACUGAGACACGGCCCAGACUCCUACGGGAGGCAGCAGCUAAGAAUCUUCCGCAAUGGGCGAAAGCCUGACGGAGCGACGCCGCGUGAACGAAGAAGGCCGGAAGGUUGUAAAGUUCUUUUCUUGGGGAGGAAUAAGGAGGAGAGGGAAUGCUCCUCUGAUGACGUGAACCGAGGAAUAAGCCCCGGCUAAUUACGUGCCAGCAGCCGCGGUAAUACGUAAGGGGCAAGCGUUGUUCGGAAUCAUUGGGCGUAAAGGGCGUGUAGGCGGUUUAUCAAGUCUGGUGUAAAAAGACCCGGCUCAACCGGGGGACUGCGCUGGAAACUGGUAGACUAGAGUAUAGGAAGGGGAGCUGGAAUUCCUGGUGUAGGGGUGAAAUCUGUAGAUAUCAGGAAGAACACCGGUGGCGAAGGCGAGCUCCUGGCCAUAUACUGACGCUGAGGCGCGAAAGCGUGGGGAGCGAACAGGAUUAGAUACCCUGGUAGUCUACGCUGUAAACGAUGUGCACUAGGUGUUGGUGGGGAGAACUGCCAGUGCCGUAGCAAACGCGUUAAGUGCACCGCCUGGGGAGUAUGCUCGCAAGGGUGAAACUCAAAGGAAUUGACGGGGGCCCGCACAAGCGGUGGAGCAUGUGGUUUAAUUCGACGAUACGCGAGGAACCUUACCAGGGCUUGACAUAUGCAGGGAAUCGCCGGAGACGGCGGUGCCUCUUCGGAGGCUUGCAUACAGGUGCUGCAUGGCUGUCGUCAGCUCGUGCUGUGAAGUGUUGGGUUAAGUCCCGCAACGAGCGCAACCCCUCCUAUCUGUUGCCAGCACGUUAAGGUGGGGACUCAGAUUGUACUGCCGGUGACAAACCGGAGGAAGGUGGGGACGACGUCAAGUCAUCAUGGCCCUUAUGUCCUGGGCUACACACGUGCUACAAUGGUCGGUACAGAGUGAAGCGAGACCGCGAGGUGGAGCAAAUCACAGAAAGCCGAUCUCAGUACGAAUUGAAGUCUGAAACUCGACUUCAUGAAGGUGGAAUCGCUAGUA
rnacentral:rRNA from 1 species